UUUGAUUGCCUUUAAAGUUACUAUUCUGUAUCAUUGAUUCAUCAAGAAAACCUAGAUCUCCACUCACCUCACUGUUCAAUCAUUGAGUGGUAAAGGACAGAAGUAUUUUCUAGUUCUGGUCAGAUGAUAUAAUUUUUGUGUGUGUGUGUGUGGGGGUGAAGUCUUGUUCUGCCACCCAGGCUGGAGUGCAGUGGCAUGAUGUCAACUCACUGCAACCUCCGCCUCCCGGGUUCAAGUGAUUCUCCUGCCUCAGCCUCCCAAGUAGCUGGGAUUACAGGUGUGGGCCACUGCACCCGGCCCAGAUGAUAUAAUUUAACUGUGUUUUAGGUAACAUGUUAAUGAGGGAAAAUGUUUACCAGUGUAGCAUUGGAUCAAAAAGUUUAUCACACAGUGUUUUAAUAAAUGGUUUAUUCUGCU
rnacentral:sRNA from 1 species